rnacentral:rRNA from 1 species
CAGCAGCCGCGGGAAUACGAAGGGGGCUAGCGUUGCUCGGAAUGACUGGGCGUAAAGGGCGCGUAGGCGGAUUGUUUAGUUAGGCGUGAAAUUCCUGGGCUUAACCUGGGGACUGCGCUUAAUACAGGCAGUCUAGAGUGAGGAAGAGGGUUGUGGAAUUCCCAGUGUAGAGGUGAAAUUCGUAGAUAUUGGGAAGAACACCGGUGGCGAAGGCGGCAACCUGGUCCUUGACUGACGCUGAGGCGCGAAAGCGUGGGGAGCAAACAGGAUUAGAUACCCCGGUAGUCCCUGUCUCUUAUAC